rnacentral:rRNA from 1 species
AUGAGCUGGAGAAAGAAGCAAAAGAAACACUUCAAGGACUCGUAUCGCCGAGGGAGAGCUGAUGCAACUGCAACAGAGGCAACAUCCGCACAACUAUUGAGCAAGGGUGUCAGGCUAGGAAAGUUGUUGGAGGACAUGGAGGAUCAGGUGAUCCGUUGGGAUCUAUUGGUGGAUUUCUGGGCAGAGAUGCUGGUGUAUAUCGCCCCAUCUGAUAAUGUGGCUGGUCACAUUGAACUUCUUGCUGAAGGUGGCGAGUUUGUGACGCACGUCUGGGCGCUGCUUAUGCAUGCUGGCAUCCUGGAGCGGCCUGCUGCUACUGCAAUACGCUAG